rnacentral:rRNA from 1 species
UGCCAGACUCCUACGGGAGGCAGCAGUGGGGGAUAUUGCACAAUGGGGGGAACCCUGAUGCAGCGACGCCGCGUGGGUGAAGGAGUGCUUCGGCAUGUAAAGCCCUAUCGGCAGGGAAGAAGCAAGACGGUACCUGACUAAGAAGCCCCGACUAACUACGUGCCAGCAGCCGCGGUAAUACGUAGGUGGCAAGCGUUGUCCGGAUUUACUGGGUGUAAAGGGCGUGUAGCCGGGCUGACAAGUCAGAUGUGAAAUCCGGGGGCUCAACCCCCGAACUGCAUUUGAAACUGUUGGUCUUGAGUAUCGGAGAGGCAGGCGGAAUUCCUAGUGUAGCGGUGAAAUGCGUAGAUAUUAGGAGGAACACCAGUGGCGAAGGCAGCCUUCCGGCGCCCUACUGACGCUGAGGCACGAAAGUGCGGGGAUCGAACAGGAUUAGAUACCCCCGUACC